AUCCAUCUGGCGAGUCCCAAAUAGGACAAAACGUGCGUUGUGGAU
rnacentral:hammerhead_ribozyme from 1 species